rnacentral:rRNA from 1 species
AUUGAACGCUGGCGGCAUGCCUUACACAUGCAGGUCGAACGGUAACAGGUCUUCGGAUGCUGACGAGUGGCGAACGGGUGAGUAAUACAUCGGUACGUGCCUAGUAGUGGGGGAUAACUACUCGAAAGAGUGGCUAAUACCGCAUGAGAUUUACGGAUGAAAGCAGGGGAACGCCACACCUUGAGCUACUAGACAGGCCGAUGGCAGAUUAGGUAGUUGGUGGAAUAAGAGCUUACCAAGCAGACGAUCUGUAGCUGGUCUGGGAGGACGAUCAGCCACACUGGGACUGAGACACGGCCCAGACUCCUACGGGAGGCAGCAGUGGGGAAUUUUGGACAAUGGGCGCAAGCCUGAUCCAGCAAUGCCGCGUGCAGGAUGAAGGCCUUCGGGUUGUAAACUGCUUUUGUACGGAACGAAAAGCCCCGGGUUAAUACCCUGGGGUCAUGACGGUACCGUAAGAAUAAGCACCGGCUAACUACGUGCCAGCCGCCGCCGUAA